rnacentral:ncRNA from 2 species
UAAGGCACGAGGUGCUUCGGUCCGGACGGGAAACCGUCCGGUGAAAAGGGAACACGGUGCGCCAGGCCCAGGCCUGGCAAUUCCGUGACUGCCCCCGCAACUGUAAGCGGCGAGCGAAGCCGGACCAUGUCACUGUUGCGCGGAUCGCGCGAUGGGAAGACCCGGCCAAGCGACGACCCGCGAGUCAGGAGACCUGCCGGAGUGAUCACCCUGUC